rnacentral:misc_RNA from 1 species
GGAACCUAAGAGCUGCCCUGGUUUCAUCUACAGAUGUUCAGUCCCAUUGGGUCGUAUUAAGAUGCCUCCUUCUGAAUUUCAUGCAUUUCUUGAGGAUGUGGCUUCUGAGUAUCACGGGGAUACGUAUCACCUCAUUUCAAAGAACUGUAACCAUUUUACAGAUGACAUAGCACAGAGAUUAACAGGGAAAGGGAUACCUGGAUGGGUGAAUCGGCUUGCCAGGGUUGGUGCUUUCUGCAGUUGUCUUCUUCCUGAGAGCCUCCAAGCGACAACUGUUAAACAGCUUCCUGAGUAUCACCAUUGUACAGAAGAAGAUGGAAGUGGAUCAAUGACAUCUACAACGCCCCAUGAACC